rnacentral:lncRNA from 1 species
UACUUCUUUCAAUGGACACAUAUACACUUCAAUUUAUGUUUAGAUUGAUGGACCAGAAUGAAACAAAACUGAAUGAAACAUGAUGGAAUGUAAGGAUGACAAAAUUGACCUGCCCCAUCAAACAUACAUGUUUUAUCCGUAGUUUUUUUGUUGGACUGACCAAAGUUUUAGACCUACACCUUCAUUCCAUUUUUUUAGUCUUUC